rnacentral:rRNA from 1 species
CCUACGGGGGGCUGCAGUGGGGAAUAUUGCACAAUGGGCGCAAGCCUGAUGCAGCCAUGCCGCGUGUGUGAAGAAGGCCUUCGGGUUGUAAAGCACUUUCAGCGGGGAGGAAGGCGUUAAGGUUAAUAACCUUGUCGAUUGACGUUACCCGCAGAAGAAGCACCGGCUAACUCCGUGCCAGCAGCCGCGGUAAUACGGAGGGUGCAAGCGUCAAUCGGAAUUACUGGGCGUAAAGCGCACGCAGGCGGUCUGUCAAGUCGGAUGUGAAAUCCCCGGGCUCAACCUGGGAACUGCAUUCGAAACUGGCAGGCUAGAGUCUUGUAGAGGGGGGUAGAAUUCCAGGUGUAGCGGUGAAAUGCGUAGAGAUCUGGAGGAAUACCGGUGGCGAAGGCGGCCCCCUGGACAAAGACUGACGCUCAGGUGCGAAAGCGUGGGGAGCAAACAGGAUUAGAUACCCGAGUAGUC